rnacentral:lncRNA from 1 species
GGAUAGUACAAGAGGUUUAUGAUUUCUCAACCCAUUUAUGUGGGUGGAGAGAGAAUCAAGUGUUUUUUUAAAUAAAGAAUAAUUAAUAAUUAAUAAUCAAAUUAAUAAAAAUAAAUAAAUUGUAAGGGGGAUCGUAAAAGUUUUGUAUGUAACAUAUCGGUAGUGGAAAGAAUUUUUUUUGGAGAGGCUAUUUGGCUUGGAACAUAUAUUACAAUACUCUCUUCAUCCACUUCUCAAUAAAAUAUUUUAUUAAAAAAAUUUCCUUAAUUGAAUUAUUGUUUUAGCCAUAUAUUAUGUUCGUUUAUCUCCCUAAAGUUUUUAUUCUUUCACCCUUUUUUCUCUUUUCCUCUGUGUCUCCCCAAUUUUUUUCCAGUCCUAUGGGGUUCUUAUUAAAGCUUCUAUUG